GGCAAGAUGGCCGAGCGGUCUAAGGCGCCGUCUUCAGGGUUCUGAAUUGGCGGUCCGAAAGGGCGUGGGUUCGAAUCCCACUCUUGUCA
rnacentral:tRNA from 2 species